CACGCAUUAUUUUACUCUAAUUUCUAAUAUACCCAAUAAUACCCUAAUUUCUACAAUACCAUUUUCAAUCUUCUUCUUAAUUUCAAAGUAGUUGCAGUCGGAGUUCCGAAACAUUUGCUUUAAAACGUACGAUCCCAUUUUGACCUCUAAAAAAAAAGGCUUUCCUGUGAUGUUGUAGCAAUCGACAACCGGCGCAAGGCAUUACUAGUGAUCCGCAGCUAGGAAAAGAAGUCAGUUUAACGUAGCUGUCAAUGAAGGGCAACAAUACGGAUCUAAUGCAACGAUAAUUCGACGCAAGUCUGGCAUUCACGGUCUAUAAGGAGAAGACAGUGAGACUAUAUUACUUCAGAUCGGCCCUUCGUUUGUUCGUGCCUACACAAGUAACAAAAAGAAAAAAGAAAUGAUGAUGCUCAGAGAGGACCUUGAGAGCGAGAUCUUCCUCCGUAUUAGACCGCUGUGUGGGAGAUCUCAACUGUUAACUUUUUCCACCAUUGACGUAUAUUCGACUUCCUCGAGGCAUAUCUAAGUUGAAACUGCAUUUAGGUUAAAGAAUUUAUAAAAACCGCCUAAAACUGAUAACGGUACUCUUGAAUUGACAAAGCGGUUUAUGAUUUAUCUGUGUUAUGUAAAAGUGCUUUGCGAUGUACACCAUUAAUUUUAGUUAUCGUGCGUGCGUUAAACUCAUAUUGAGCACUCAUAAA